CGUUAUUGGGAACAUUAUUAAUUAAUUCCCUCCGCAUUGCGCCCGCGCCACCACAGCUCCUUCCCUCACCUCUCCACUGCAGCUCCUUCGACGUCGUCACUACAGGAAGCUCUCGCCCCCUCCAUCAGUCACGCUGUCUAUCACCGUGUAUAUUUGCGGCUUGUUUGGGUGCCCUAAUUAGGGUUUAGAAUGCUUAGUAUUUGGGAACGUACCACGAAUGGUUUAUUUGGCAUUGAGAUUCUGUGAGCAAUGUCAACAUAGACCAUUUCGUGGACUUUGAGUUGCUGUACACAUUGCUACACACCCUAAUGCCAUUAGGGUAACUUGUAUGUUCCUGCGAUGAAGUUUUGUUUAACCAGAUUCUUUGAAAAUUGUAGGAGACCCAUGUUAUCUGGUUUUAUCUUUAGUUUGAGCAUGGGCAUGGUUCACGACCAGUUGCGGUUUUAAUACGGUUGAGAUGCUUAAAUGGAACAAGUCAUAUGAUUUCUGGUAAGGUCAUUGCAGAGAUGAUUGCAAUUAGAAGAUCACUCGUUAGUCUCUAAGGUACUACUAUUUAAUUGUGUAACAAAGUUAAGGCUCUCGAAGAACUUCUUGUUGCUGGACUGAACAUAAAAUCAUCAAAUUAUCACCGGCCUUACUGCACCCAAAGUUUUUGUUACUAGCACAUUUUGAGUAUUGUUUGUGUUGAUUACAGGGAGAAUUCCGCUUGCUGGGAACAAUGAACUUCUGGCAGAUUGGGCAGCAGAAUAUGUAAGGUGGGGGAAAUCCUUAAGACAUGUUGUGGAUCCAAGGCAGAAGUCUUUGCAGGAAGAAGAGAUUGAGGAAUGGUCUGAAGUGAUAAGAAACUGUGUACAACCAGAUCCGGAGAGAAGGCAAGCAUCACCACUUUGGUGAGCAGAAAUGGCAAUUACAUCCACUGAUUCAAGUUGAGACAUUAAUAUUAUAACACAAAUAAGAGUUGGAUGAUAAUUUGUACAGUUACUCUAAAUUUGGAAUUCAUGCACUUUUGAAAUAUUUAUGUUUAUACUAAUGUUUUCUAAACUAAUAUUUUGAAGCCAACCGAAAAAAAGAAGCAUGUAGAGAACAAAUAACAUUUGUCUCAUUGUAGAGGAAUUGACUUUUGUUAAUAUUUGGAGGGACAGUGUUUCCUUAAUACCCUUUCGAAUAUGUUCUUUUGGGAAACUGCUGUUGGGGCAGGGUAAAGGGCUGUUAUAUGUUUGCCUACUAUCUAUGAGCAUAAAAUGAUUUCAUUU